UGGGGAAUAUUGCACAAUGGGCGGAAGCCUGAUGCAGCAACGCCGCGUGCGGGAUGACGGCCUUCGGGUUGUAAACCUCUUUCGCCUGUGACGAAGCGUGAGUGACGGUAAUGGGUAAAGAAGCACCGGCUAACUACGUGCCAGCAGCCGCGGUGAUACGUAGGGUGCGAGCGUUGUCCGGAUUUAUUGGGCGUAAAGGGCUCGUAGGUGGUUGAUCGCGUCGGAAGUGUAAUCUUGGGGCUUAACCCUGAGCGUGCUUUCGAUACGGGUUGACUUGAGGAAGGUAGGGGAGAAUGGAAUUCCUGGUGGAGCGGUGGAAUGCGCAGAUAUCAGGAGGAACACCAGUGGCGAAGGCGGUUCUCUGGGCCUUUCCUGACGCUGAGGAGCGAAAGCGUGGGGAGCGAACAGGCUUAGAUACCCUGGUAGUCCACGCUGUAAACGGUGGGUACUAGGUGUGGGGUCCAUUCCACGGGUUCCGCGCCGUAGCUAACGCUUUAAGUACCCCGCCUGGGGAGUACGGCCGCAAGGCUAAAACUCAAAGGAAUUGACGGGGCCCCGCACAAGCGGCGGAGCAUGCGGAUUAAUUCGAUGCAACGCGUAGAACCUUACCUGGGUUUGACAUGGAUCGGGAGUGCUCAGAGAUGGGUGUGCCUCUUUUGGGGUCGGUUCACAGGUGGUGCAUGGUUGUCGUCAGCUCGUG
rnacentral:rRNA from 1 species